AUACGGAGGGUGCAAGCGUUAAUCGGAAUCACUGGGCGUAAAGCGCGCGUAGGCCGCUUUGUAAGUCGGACGUGAAAGCCCUCGGCUCAACCGGGGAACUGCGUUCGAUACCGCGCGGCUUGAGUCCUGGAGAGGGUGGCGGAAUUCCGGGUGUAGGAGUUAAAUCCGUAGAUAUCAGGAGGAACACCGGUGGCGAAGCCGGCCACCUGGACAGGUACUGACGCUGAGGCGCGAAGGCGUGGGGAGCAAACAGGAUUAGAUCCCCUGGUAGUCCACGCCGUAAACGAUGGAUGCUAGGUGUCGGGGAGCGAUCCUCGGUGCCGGAGUUAACGCAUUAAGCAUCCCGCCUGGGGAGUACGGUCGCAAGGCUGAAACUCAAAUGAAUUGGCGGGG
rnacentral:rRNA from 1 species